UUUGAUCCUGGCUCAGAUUGAACGCUGGCGGCAGGCCUAACACAUGCAAGUCGAGCGGUAACACAGAGAGCUUGCUCUCGGGUGACGAGCGGCGGACGGGUGAGUAAUGUCUGGGAAACUGCCUGAUGGAGGGGGAUAACUACUGGAAACGGUAGCUAAUACCGCAUAACGUCGCAAGACCAAAGUGGGGGACCUUCGGGCCUCAUGCCAUCAGAUGUGCCCAGAUGGGAUUAGCUAGUAGGUGGGGUAAUGGCUCACCUAGGCGACGAUCCCUAGCUGGUCUGAGAGGAUGACCAGCCACACUGGAACUGAGACACGGUCCAGACUCCUACGGGAGGCAGCAGUGGGGAAUAUUGCACAAUGGGCGCAAGCCUGAUGCAGCCAUGCCGCGUGUAUGAAGAAGGCCUUCGGGUUGUAAAGUACUUUCAGCGAGGAGGAAGGCGUUAAGGUUAAUAACCUUAGCGAUUGACGUUACUCGCAGAAGAAGCACCGGCUAACUCCGUGCCAGCAGCCGCGGUAAUACGGAGGGUGCAAGCGUUAAUCGGAAUUACUGGGCGUAAAGCGCACGCAGGCGGUCUGUCAAGUCGGAUGUGAAAUCCCCGGGCUCAACCUGGGAACUGCAUUCGAAACUGGCAGGCUAGAGUCUUGUAGAGGGGGGUAGAAUUCCAAGGUGUAGCGGUGAAAUGCGUAGAGAUUCUGGAGGAAUACCGGUGGCGAAGGCGGCCCCCUGGACAAAGACUGACGCUCAGGUGCGAAAGCGUGGGGAGCAAACAGGAUUAGAUACCCUGGUAGUCCACGCCGUAAACGAUGUCGACUUGGAGGUUGUGCCCUUGAGGCGUGGCUUCCGGAGCUAACGCGUUAAGUCGACCGCCUGGGGAGUACGGCCGCAAGGUUAAAACUCAAAUGAAUUGACGGGGGCCCGCACAAGCGGUGGAGCAUGUGGUUUAAUUCGAUGCAACGCGAAGAACCUUACCUACUCUUGACAUCCAGAGAACUUAGCAGAGAUGCUUUGGUGCCUUCGGGAACUCUGAGACAGGUGCUGCAUGGCUGUCGUCAGCUCGUGUUGUGAAAUGUUGGGUUAAGUCCCGCAACGAGCGCAACCCUUAUCCUUUGUUGCCAGCGAUUCGGUCGGGAACUCAAAGGAGACUGCCAGUGAUAAACUGGAGGAAGGUGGGGAUGACGUCAAGUCAUCAUGGCCCUUACGAGUAGGGCUACACACGUGCUACAAUGGCAUAUACAAAGAGAAGCGACCUCGCGAGAGCAAGCGGACCUCAUAAAGUAUGUCGUAGUCCGGAUUGGAGUCUGCAACUCGACUCCAUGAAGUCGGAAUCGCUAGUAAUCGUAGAUCAGAAUGCUACGGUGAAUACGUUCCCGGGCCUUGUACACACCGCCCGUCACACCAUGGGAGUGGGUUGCAAAAGAAGUAGGUAGCUUAACCUUCGGGAGGGCGCUUACCACUUUGUGAUUCAUGAUCUGGGGUGAAGUCGUAACAAGGUAACC
rnacentral:rRNA from 1 species